GGUUAAGCGACUAAGCGUACACGGUGGAUGCCCUGGCAGUCAGAGGCGAUGAAGGACGUGCUAAUCUGCGAAAAGCGUCGGUAAGGUGAUAUGAACCGUUACAGCCGGCGAUGUCCGAAUGGGGAAACCCAGUGCAAUUCGUUGCACUAUCGUUAACUGAAUACAUAGGUUAACGAGGCGAACCGGGGGAACUGAAACAUCUAAGUACCCCGAGGAAAAGAAAUCAACCGAGAUUCCCCCAGUAGCGGCGAGCGAACGGGGAGCAGCCCGGAGUCUGAAUCAGCUUGUGUGUUAGUGGAAGCGUCUGGAAAGUCGCAGGGUACAGGGUGAUACUCCCGUACACUAAAACGCACAGGUUGUGAACUCGAAGAGUAGGGCGGGACACGUGGUAUCCUGUCUGAAUAUGGGGGGACCAUCCUCCAAGGCUAAAUACUCCUGACUGACCGAUAGUGAACCAGUACCGUGAGGGAAAGGCGAAAAGAACCCCGGCGAGGGGAGUGAAAAAGAACCUGAAACCGUGUACGUACAAGCAGUAGGAGCCCACUAGUUGGGUGACUGCGUACCUUUUGUAUAAUGGGUCAGCGACUUAUAUUCUGUAGCAAGGUUAACCGUAUAGGGGAGCCGCAGGGAAACCGAGUCUUAACUGGGCGUUAAGUUGCAGGGUAUAGACCCGAAACCCGGUGAUCUAGCCAUGGGCAGGUUGAAGGUUGGGUAACACUAACUGGAGGACCGAACCGACUAAUGUUGAAAAAUUAGCGGAUGACUUGUGGCUGGGGGUGAAAGGCCAAUCAAACCGGGAGAUAGCUGGUUCUCCCCGAAAGCUAUUUAGGUAGCGCCUCGUGAAUUCAUCUUCGGGGGUAGAGCACUGUUUCGGCUAGGGGGUCAUCCCGACUUACCAACCCGAUGCAAACUACGAAUACCGAAGAAUGUUAUCACGGGAGACACACGGCGGGUGCUAACGUCCGUCGUGAAGAGGGAAACAACCCAGACCGCCAGCUAAGGUCCCAAAGUCAUGGUUAAGUGGGAAACGAUGUGGGAAGGCCCAGACAGCCAGGAUGUUGGCUUAGAAGCAGCCAUCAUUUAAAGAAAGCGUAAUAGCUCACUGGUCGAGUCGGCCUGCGCGGAAGAUGUAACGGGGCUAAACCAUGCACCGAAGCUGCGGCAGCGACACUAUGUGUUGUUGGGUAGGGGAGCGUUCUGUAAGCCGUUGAAGGUGGCCUGUGAGGGUUGCUGGAGGUAUCAGAAGUGCGAAUGCUGACAUAAGUAACGAUAAUGCGGGUGAAAAACCCGCACGCCGGAAGACCAAGGGUUCCUGUCCAACGUUAAUCGGGGCAGGGUGAGUCGACCCCUAAGGCGAGGCCGAAAGGCGUAGUCGAUGGGAAACAGGUUAAUAUUCCUGUACUCGGUGUUACUGCGAAGGGGGGACGGAGAAGGCUAUGUUGGCCGGGCGACGGUUGUCCCGGUUUAAGCAUGUAGGCGGAUGUUCCAGGUAAAUCCGGAACGUUACUAACGCUGAGGUGUGAUGACGAGGCACUACGGUGCUGAAGUGACAAAUGCCCUGCUUCCAGGAAAAGCCUCUAAGCAUCAGGUAACAUCAAAUCGUACCCCAAACCGACACAGGUGGUCAGGUAGAGAAUACCAAGGCGCUUGAGAGAACUCGGGUGAAGGAACUAGGCAAAAUGGUGCCGUAACUUCGGGAGAAGGCACGCUGAUGGUAGGUGAAGUGACUUGCUCAUGGAGCUGAAAUCAGUCGAAGAUACCAGCUGGCUGCAACUGUUUAUUAAAAACACAGCACUGUGCAAACACGAAAGUGGACGUAUACGGUGUGACGCCUGCCCGGUGCCGGAAGGUUAAUUGAUGGGGUUAUCCGUAAGGAGAAGCUCUUGAUCGAAGCCCCGGUAAACGGCGGCCGUAACUAUAACGGUCCUAAGGUAGCGAAAUUCCUUGUCGGGUAAGUUCCGACCUGCACGAAUGGCGUAAUGAUGGCCAGGCUGUCUCCACCCGAGACUCAGUGAAAUUGAACUCGCUGUGAAGAUGCAGUGUACCCGCGGCAAGACGGAAAGACCCCGUGAACCUUUACUAUAGCUUGACACUGAACACUGGUCCUUGAUGUGUAGGAUAGGUGGGAGGCUUUGAAGUGUGGACGCCAGUCUGCAUGGAGCCAUCCUUGAAAUACCACCCUUUAAUGGCUGGUGUUCUAACGUGGGCCCCUGAUCGGGGUUGCGGACAGUGUCUGGUGGGUAGUUUGACUGGGGCGGUCUCCUCCUAAAGAGUAACGGAGGAGCACGAAGGUCAGCUAAUCCUGGUCGGACAUCAGGAGGUUAGUGCAAUGGCAUAAGCUGGCUUGACUGCGAGCGUGACGGCGCGAGCAGGUGCGAAAGCAGGUCAUAGUGAUCCGGUGGUUCUGAAUGGAAGGGCCAUCGCUCAACGGAUAAAAGGUACUCCGGGGAUAACAGGCUGAUACCGCCCAAGAGUUCAUAUCGACGGCGGUGUUUGGCACCUCGAUGUCGGCUCAUCACAUCCUGGGGCUGAAGUAGGUCCCAAGGGUAUGGCUGUUCGCCAUUUAAAGUGGUACGCGAGCUGGGUUUAGAACGUCGUGAGACAGUUCGGUCCCUAUCUGCCGUGGGCGCUGGAGAAUUGAGGGGGGCUGCUCCUAGUACGAGAGGACCGGAGUGGACGCAUCACUGGUGUUCGGGUUGUCAUGCCAAUGGCAUUGCCCGGUAGCUAAAUGCGGAAGAGAUAAGUGCUGAAAGCAUCUAAGCACGAAACUUGCCCCGAGAUGAGUUCUCCCUGACCCUUUAAGGGUCCUGAAGGAACGUUGAAGACGACGACGUUGAUAGGCCGGGUGUGUAAGCGCAGCGAUGCGUUGAGCUAACCGGUACUAAUGAACCGUGAGGCUUAACCUU
rnacentral:rRNA from 1 species